UACGUAGGGUGCAAGCGUUGUCCGGAAUUAUUGGGCGUAAAGAGCUCGUAGGCGGUUUGUCACGUCGGAUGUGAAACCCUGAGGCUCAACCUCAGGCCUGCAUUCGAUACGGGCAGACUAGAAUUCGGCAGGGGAGACUGGAAUUCCUGGUGUAGCGGUGAAAUGCGCAGAUAUCAGGAGGAACACCGGUGGCGAAGGCGGGUCACUGGGCCGAUAUUGACGCUGAGGAGCGAAAGCGUGGGGAGCAAACAGG
rnacentral:rRNA from 1 species